GACGAACGCUGGCGGCGUGCUUAACACAUGCAAGUCGAACGGAAAGGCCCUGCUUUUGUGGGGUGCUCGAGUGGCGAACGGGUGAGUAACACGUGAGUAACCUGCCCUUGACUUUGGGAUAACUUCAGGAAACUGGGGCUAAUACCGGAUAGGAGCUCCUGCUUCAUGGUGGGGGUUGGACAGUUUCGGCGGUUGGGGAUGGACUCGCGGCUUAUCAGCUUGUUGGUGGGGUAGUGGCUUACCAAGGCUUUGACGGGUAGCCGGCCUGAGAGGGUGACCGGCAACAUUGGGACUGAGAUACGGCGCAGACUCCUACGGGAGGCAGCAGUGGGGAAUAUUGCACAAUGGGCGGAAGCCUGAUGCAGCAACGCCGCGUGCGGGAUGAAGGCCUUCGGGUUGUAAACCGCUUUCGCCUGUGACGAAGCGUGAGUGACGGUAAUGGGUAAAGAAGCACCGGCUAACUACGUG
rnacentral:rRNA from 1 species